rnacentral:rRNA from 1 species
AAUGACUCUCGGCAACGGAUAUCUCGGCUCUCGCAUCGAUGAAGAACGYAGCGAAAUGCGAUACUUGGUGUGAAUUGCAGAAUCCCGUGAACCAUCGAGUCUUUGAACGCAAGUUGCGCCCGAAGCCAUUAGGCCGAGGGCACGUCUGGCUGGGUGUCACACAUCG